GAAAAGCCCAAAGCCAAUCCC
rnacentral:snRNA from 1 species